CCUACGGGAGGCAGCAGUAGGGAAUCUUCCACAAUGGGCGAAAGCCUGAUGGAGCAACGCCGCGUGGGUGAAGAAGGUCUUCGGAUCGUAAAACCCUGUUGUUAGAGAAGAAAGUGCGUGAGAGUAACUGUUCACGUUUCGACGGUAUCUAACCAGAAAGCCACGGCUAACUACGUGCCAGCAGCCGCGGUAAUACGUAGGUGGCAAGCGUUAUCCGGAUUUAUUGGGCGUAAGGGGAACGCAGGCGGUCUUUUAAGUCUGAUGUGAAAGCCUUCGGCUUAACCGGAGUAGUGCAUUGGAAACUGGGAGACUUGAGUGCAGAAGAGGAGAGUGGAACUCCAUGUGUAGCGGUGAAAUGCGUAGAUAUAUGGAAGAACACCAGUGGCGAAAGCGGCUCUCUGAUCUGUAACUGACGCUGAGGUUCGAAAGCGUGGGUAGCAAACAGGAUUAGAUACCCUUGUAGUC
rnacentral:rRNA from 1 species